AAAGAACUUUGAAAAGAGAGUGAAAAGCACUUGAAACCGUCACGGGGGAAGCGGAUUGCGUGAGUGAUGGUGUCGCUUGUUCAGCGCUUUAUUGCGUGCAUUCUGGCGGCGCCGUGCCGGCGUGGCUGGCUGGACUGUGAUUUUGACAGUCUCGGCUGGUGAGGGCUCCCUCGUAUGAGGUGAGGACGCGGGCAAAAUGACGCAAUACGACCCGUCUUGAAACACGGACCAAGGAGUCUAGCACGGCUGCGAGUCGAAGAGUGAUUAAACUCAAGGGCGCAGUGAAAGCGAAAUUAUAAGCAAAUUGGGGAGGCGUUGCGUUUUUAACAAAAUGUCCUACCUCGAGCAUUUGUGCUGGGACCCGAAAGAUGGUGAACUAUGCCGGAGUAGGGCAAAGCCAGAGGAAACUCUGGUGGAGGCUCGUAGCGAUGCUGACGUGCAAAUCGCUCGUCGAACUUGGGUAUAGGGGCGAAAGACUAAUCGAACCAUCUAGUAGCUGGUUCCCUCCGAAGUUUCUCUCAGGAUAGCGGGCCGACACGCGUUUGUUGUUUUGUGCGGUAAAGCGAAUGAUUAGUGCAUUUGGGGUACGAAGUACUUCGGGCGAUUCUCAAACUUUAAAUGCGCAAGGGGGUGGCUGCUUAAUUGAGCCUACUCUUUGAAAAACGUCGGCCCUGUGGGCCACUUUUGGUAAGCAGAACUGGCGAUAAGGGAUGAACCUUAAGCGCGGU
rnacentral:rRNA from 1 species